rnacentral:rRNA from 1 species
AUGUCUGAGUUUCUGGAACUCGAGGCCCGGGAUGGGGUAAGGAUGACCUGGAACGUGAUACCCGGCACCAAGCAGGACGCUGCUAGCUGCGUCGUCCCUGUCUCGGCCAUAUACACUCCUCUGAACCCCAACCCUGCCAUUCCUGUUCUUCCUUAUGCCCCACUCCGCUGCCGCAUCUGCCGCUCCAUCCUCAACCCCUUCUCGGUCGCCGACUUCGGUUCAAAGAUGUGGCUCUGCCCAUUCUGCUUCCAGCGCAACCACUUCCCCCAGCAGUACUCCGCUAUUUCGCAAAGCAACCUACCUACCGAACUGUAUCCUGAAUGUUGUACUGUGGAGUACAUGGCCACUGCCGAAACAGGUCCUGUGUCGCCACCAGUCUUCCUCUUUGUUGUUGACACUUGCAUGAUCGAGGAGGAAAUCGGCUAUUUGAAGUCCGCUCUGGCGCAAGCAGUUGAGCUGUUGCCGGACCAAUCCCUCGUCGGAUUCAUUACUUUCGGGACAUAUGUGCAGGUGCAUGAAUUGGGUUUUGGCUUGUUGCCUAAGUCACAUGUGUUCAAGGGGACAAAGGAGAUUAAGAAGGAUCAAAUUCUUGAGCAAAUGGGUUUCCUUACAGGGAAAACAAAACCCACAACAGGUGUGAUCACCGGCGCAAGGGAUGGUGUUUCAGCAGAAAGUAUUGGUAGGUACCUGUUGCCUGCUUCGGAGUGUGAGUUUAUGUUGAAUUCACUUAUAGAAGAACUGCAAAAGGACCCGUGGCCGGUUUGUGCUGAUCAGCGAGCAUCAAGAUGUACUGGAGCUGCGUUAAGUGUUGCAGCCAGCCUCUUGGGGAUUUGUGUGCCUGGAUCAGGUGGUAGAAUUAUGGCAUUUAUAGGUGGCCCAUCUACAGAGGGACUUGGUUCUAUAAUAUCUAAGCCGUUAUCUGAUCCAAUUCGUUCGCACAAAGAUCUUGAUAAAGGUUCUGCUCCACUUUAUAACAAAGCCGUUAAAUUCUACGAGGAGAUUGGAAAUCAACUCGUGCAUCAAGGGCAUGUGCUUGAUCUAUUUGCAUGUGCACUUGACCAGGUUGGUGUUGCUGAGAUGAAGGUUGCAGUGGAGAGAACUGGGGGAAUAGUUGUGCUUGCAGAAAGUUUUGGCCAUUCUGUUUUUAAAGAUUCACUUAGACGCAUUUUUCAGUCAAGCGAUAGUGACCUUGGUGGCUUAUCGUUCAAUGGCAUAUUUGAGAUCAACUGCUCCAAGGAUGUCAAAAUUCAAGGCAUCAUUGGACCUUGUACUUCCCUGGAGAAGAAAGGUCCUCUAUCCUCAGAUACAGUUGUAGGUCAGGGGAACACUAGCGCUUGGAGGAUGUGUGGUCUAGAUAGGAAAACAUCACUAUGCCUAUUAUUUGAUAUGGCCAAAAAAGAUGCCCCGGACGCAAUUGGUCAAUCACAAAAUAAUCUGUUCUACUUCCAAUUCUUAACCUAUUAUCAGCAUCAUGAUGGGCAAAUGAGAUUGCGAUCGACUACAAUUUCAAGAAGAUGGGUUGCUGGUUCUGGCAGUGUGCAGGAGUUAAUAACUGGCUUUGACCAAGAGGCAGCAGCAGCAGUCAUGGCACGCUUGGUCUCAUUUAAGAUGGAAGCUGAGGUUGAUUUUGAUCCAGUAAGAUGGCUUGACCGAGCAUUGAUUAGUUUAUGUUCGAAAUUUGGAGACUAUCAGAAGGAAGCACCUUCAUCUUUCAGUUUGUCCCCACGUCUAUCAAUUUUUCCACAGUUUAUUUUUAAUUUGAGACGUUCUCAGUUUAUUCAGGUUUUCAACAAUAGUCCAGAUGAAACUGCAUAUUUCAGGAUGAUGUUAAACAGAGAAAAUGUAGCAAAUGCAGUUGUGAAGAUCCAGCCAUCACUUAUAUCAUAUUCAUUUCAGUCAGGUCCUGAGCCUGUUCUAUUGGAUGUAAGCGCAAUUGCUGGUGACAGGAUACUUUUGUUGGAUUCUUAUUUUACCGUUGUCAUAUUCCAUGGGAUAACGAUCGCACAGUAG